rnacentral:rRNA from 1 species
AUUGAACGCUGGCGGCAGGCCUAACACAUGCAAGUCGAGCGGAUGAGUGGAGCUUGCUCCAUGAUUCAGCGGCGGACGGGUGAGUAAUGCCUAGGAAUCUGCCUGGUAGUGGGGGACAACGUUUCGAAAGGAACGCUAAUACCGCAUACGUCCUACGGGAGAAAGCAGGGGACCUUCGGGCCUGGCGCUAUCAGAUGGACCCGGGUCGGAUUAGCUAGUAGGUGAGGUAAUGGCUAACCUAGGCGACGAUCCGUAACUGGUCUGAGAGGAUGAUCAGUCACACUGGAACUGAGACACGGUCCAGACUCCUACGGGAGGCAGCAGUGGGGAAUAUUGGACAAUGGGCGAAAGCCUGAUCCAGCCAUGCCGCGUGUGUGAAGAAGGUCUUCGGAUUGUAAAGCACUUUAAGUUGGGAGGAAGGGCAGUAAGUUAAUACCUUACUGUUUUGACGUUACCAACAGAAUAAGCACCGGCUAACUUCGUGCCAGCCGCCGCCGUAA